GACGAACGCUGGCGGCGUGCUUAACACAUGCAAGUCGAACGAUGAACCCGGAGCUUGCUCUGGGGGAUUAGUGGCGAACGGGUGAGUAACACGUGAGUAACCUGCCCUGGACUCUGGGAUAAGCGUUGGAAACGACGUCUAAUACCGGAUAGGACCUUGGAUCGCAUGAUCUGGGGUGGAAAGUUUUUUCGGUCUGGGAUGGACUCGCGGCCUAUCAGCUUGUUGGUGAGGUAAUGGCUCACCAAGGCGUCGACGGGUAGCCGGCCUGAGGGGGUGACCGGCCACACUGGGACUGAGACACGGCCCAGACUCCUACGGGAGGCAGCAGUGGGGAAUAUUGCACAAUGGGCGAAAGCCUGAUGCAGCAACGCCGCGUGCGGGAUGACGGCCUUCGGGUUGUAAACCGCUUUUAGUAGGGAAGAAGGGCUUCGGCUUGACGGUACCUGCAGAAAAAGGACCGGCUAACUACGUG
rnacentral:rRNA from 1 species